UGCUCCCCCCUUAUGCCCUCUUUUCCCAAUCAUUGUUACAAUCUAUUGUGGACAGACCUGCUCCAUUUUUAUCUGCGUCUGUCUUCCAGAAAUCAUGUGGAUGAUAAGAAAAUGGUGGAAAGAGCAGGGUGACAAGUCCAAGGGCAGCCAGAAGGUUGACUUUGAAAGUUUGAGGAAGAUACUGCUGCUUCUGCCAGAAGUUCAGCAGAUGAAUGAGAGAGAACAAAGACUGGCUGGAGCUCCAGUUCUGCUAUGUCAUUGCUAUGUGACCCUUCUGAGCUCCCAUUUCCUUGAUGGAGCUGACACUGAUUGGACCAUGGAGAUCCAUGAGGAUGAAAUAGGAACUUACAGGAAAUUCACAUCAGAGAAGGGAAUAGAGUAUUCUGCAGGAAGUCAAAGCACAUUGAAG
rnacentral:lncRNA from 1 species